rnacentral:rRNA from 1 species
UUCCGGUUGAUCCUGCCGGACCUGACUGCUAUCGGAUUGAUACUAAGCCAUGCGAGUCUUUGCAGUAAUGCAAGGCAUACGGCUCAGUAACACGUAGUCAACUUACCCUAUGGACGAGGAUAAUCUCGGGAAACUGAGCAUAAUACUCGAUAGAUCAUAAUGCCUGGAAUGGUUUAUGGUUGAAAUGAUUCGUCGCCAUAGGAUGGGACUGCGGCCUAUCAGCUUGUUGGUGAGGUAAUGGCCCACCAAGGCGAUUACAGGUACGGGCUCUGAGAGGAGAAGCCCGGAGAUGGGUACUGAGACAAGGACCCAGGCCCUAUGGGGCGCAGCAGGCGAGAAAACUUUGCAAUGUGCGAAAGCACGACAAGGUUAAUCCGAGUGAUUUCUGCUAAAGGAAUCUUUUGCAAGUCAUAAAACCACUAGUGAAUAAGGGGUGGGCAAGUUCUGGUGUCAGCCGCCGCGGUAAAACCAGCACCUCAAGUGGUCAGGAGGAUUAUUGGGCCUAAAGCAUCCGUAGCCGGCUCUGUAAGUUUUCGGUUAAAUCCAUGUGCUCAACGCAUGGGCUGCCGAAAAUACUGCAUAGCUAGGGAGUGGGAGAGGUAGACGGUACUCAGUAGGAAGGGGUAAAAUCCUUUGAUCUAUUGAUGACCACCUGUGGCGAAGGCGGUCUACCAGAACACGUUCGACGGUGAGGGAUGAAAGCUGGGGGAGCAAACCGGAUUAGAUACCCGGGUAGUCCCAGCUGUAAACGAUGCAGACUCGAUGAUGCAUUGGCAUAUAGCCAGUGCAGUGUCGCAGGGAAGCCGUUAAGUCUGCCGCCUGGGAAGUACGUACGCAAGUAUGAAACUUAAAGGAAUUGGCGGGGGAGCACCACAAGGGGUGAAGCCUGCGGUUCAAUUGGAAUCAACGCCGGA